CGCGGGGCAGAAGGACGCUGCACCGGCUCCGCCGCCUCCGGCUCCAACCCCGGUCCGAAGUCCCGCCGACGCCCGCGCGCGGCAGCGGUAGGGGUUUCACCUCGCCCGCUUGCGGCGAGGGGAGACGUCAGCAUCGCGCACUCCAUCCAGAUUCAAUUUUCAAACAGCCACGCAUGAUUGCUCUCGCGAUUGAUCGCGAGUUGAUCUGUUAGUUGCCCCGGACAACGAGGGGCAUGGAGCG
rnacentral:misc_RNA from 1 species